GCCUGGGGUGCAAAGAGGCAAAAUGCAGAGUGGGUUCUGGCAGACGGCCCUUACUGCACCUCGGGCACAGAAGUGCAGACCCUGGCAGUUCGAAGGGUGGCCCCUGUGCACCGAGAAAAUGUGGGCGCAUGAUGUCUGCCGCAGUCGUGUGAGUCCCAUUGUCCAGGGGAGCAACAGAUCCAGAGAGGGGACCUAAGGCACUCAAUGCAUGGAGAAUUAGGGCCAGUGUGGGAACCAAGCUUUUUAUAACCUGGGUGUGCUUAAAGCCAGGGGCACCUGCACCACCAUCUUUUAGCCAGCACCUCCUGACCCCCAUCAGUGCCCUUGGCUCCUACCCCGAGGAGGAGACUUGGGACCAGACUCGGUUUUCUAGACUAUUAGCUGGAGAAGUGCAGCUGCAAGAAGUUGCUCAAGACACUGUCCCUCCAGACCCAGAGGAUGUUGGGUUAGGGGAGGACCUGAAGGAGAAGGUGGUUCAGGCUCAUCACACAGACUGACUGGCUGUCUUCCAGGCCUCAGUCUUAUCAUCUGUCAAAUGGAGACCAUAUCUGUGAUCCCAGCUAUGGUGGCAAAGUUCCCUCCCUGCCAGUGGGCUGUGAGGAUGACUUAUGAUGGCCGUGGAAGACUUGCUCCUGAAUAUACAGACCCCUGUGGAAUGCAGCAAAAAGCCUGUGAAGGUUCCACGUAGAACUGGGUUCGAAUACCACCUAUGCUACUUGGCUACUGUGUGACCUUGGGGAAGUUGCUUAACCUCUCUGAGCUUCAGUUUCCUCACCUGUAAAACGGGACUAAUCACUUAAAUAUGGAAUGACUGUUAUGAGGAUUACAUCAGAAAGCUGGUAUCUCCAAAGGGCUGCAGACAUGCCUCAAAACCUCCUCACCUGCUCCCCUUGGCACUUUCAAACUCUGCUAUGAUUUUGUAGAAAGGAACACUUUCUCUGGGCUUUCCAGACACAACGAACCGGCCUGCUGCUGUGGCCUAUGCUAGAGGCAUCUGGGCAAGAAAGGAUUGACCGUAAUAACUGCCCAGGGCCACCAGGGGGCAUGCUACGCAGGACGGCUCAAGGGCUGUGCAACAUGGGGCGUCUGUCUAGUUGGAACCCCAAGCACGAAGUGACAUUGCAGUGGUGUACCUGGAGCUCUGGACCACGGGGCAGCAGUCAGAAGUCAGUAGGCACUGUCCUAGGCAGACAGACAGGGAAGCAGCACCACCAGCGUCUGCAGUCGUUCACAGAGCGCCCGUGGAGACCCAGGGCCUCCUGCUUCCCUGAGGACGGGCUGAAGCAGAAAUGCAGCCAGUCAGGAGCUCGUCCAGAUUUCUCAGCAGAGAGGGAGGUUUCGAGCACACCUUGCUUCUUCACAGAGUCCCCAGCCUAGGGGGCUUUGAUAGGGUAAAGCCUACCUGCAAUUAGAAUCACGAUUCUGGCCCAGAGUGGGCUAGAGCAGCCCAGCGGGCGCCUCCCCAAGUCGCCUCUCAAGGAUGUUCCUGGCUCUCCAGGCGAUAACC